rnacentral:rRNA from 1 species
CACGUAGGCACCAAGCGUUGUCCGGAUUUAUUGGGCGUAAAGAGCUCGUAGGCGGUUCAGUAAGUCAGGUGUGAAAUCUUUGGGCUUAACCCAAAGCGUGCACUUGAUACUGCUGUGACUUGAGUUCGGUAGGGGAGUGGGGAAUUCCCAGUGUAGCGGUGAAAUGCGCAGAUAUUAGGAGGAACACCGGUGGCGAAGGCGCCACUCUGGGCCGAAACUGACGCUGAGGAGCGAAAGCGUGGGUAGCAAACAGG